UGAUUCCAGAAGCGCUGACUUGAGUGCAUUACUCGUCAACCAGUAAUAUUAUGUUUUAAUGACCAUAAUAUCACUGGCUUACGGGAAAUGGCCUUUGGUCCCUAUGCUUCACAUGUGC
rnacentral:precursor_RNA from 9 species